AUCCCUUAAUCUACACCCUGAGAAAUACAGAGAUGAAAAAGGCCAUGAGAAAUGCUUGUUGUCAAACAAUAUUUUCAGAAGAAAAACAUAAUUGAAUUUUCCUCAACAAAAUGCUAAAAACUUUAUGCAGGAGUAAAAGUGGACUUGGAAUCAGAGAGCUCUAUUAGCUUUCAGAGUAUUGAACCCAAAUUGUUCACUUUGUAAAUGUCAGAGAUGAUGAGCUGAAAAAUUAUGAGUAAAGUGACAACACCACAAAUCCAUAAUACCUGUAUAUAAAAGAUUCUGAGUUAAAGCAAUAGUAGUUGUGUCAAAUGGAGUGGUCAGUUGUGAAGUUAAAGAGAAUUUUAAUAAUUAUUCAAUGGUAAUCUUCAGGAUUGGGGACAAGACAAAUUGCUGACGCUCUCUGGCCACACAGAAAAUUAAGAAAAUAUGUAAAUCCUAGUGAAGGGUUCGCAAACUGUCAAAAUGAGUAGAAGAAGUGUGUGACCCUGACGGUUUCCUGAGUAACUUAAAACUAACUUGAGGGCCAUCCACGACUGAUGUGCAGGUAAUUGCCCUUAUAAUUCUUCUUUUAGGCUCACUUGGUCUAUUUGAUAUUUCUUUUGUCAUUUGAAGGCUAUACAUUCAGAUGUGAUAAAAAUCCAAACAAAAGUAAAAAAGGUCUUUUUGCAAUAUUUAGUUUCGAUUUUAUAUUACAGAGUUUGCAUUUUUGGAUAAUAUGUUUAAAAAUAAUGAAAUUUUUAAAUUGUCAGUAAUGUUUCAGCCUCCAAUCUUCGAAGAAAUUCUCAUAUUUCAAAUAACCAAUCCCUUAAAGUUUUCCACAUUCAUCAGAAUCAGGUAAGUAAGUUUUCCUAAGGCACAUGCUGAUUACACCAAUAGAAAUGUGUAUAUACAUAGCAUAUAUAGGCCGUAGAUGACCUAUAGGAAAAUGCUAUUUUACAAUGCUGACAGUGCCUCAUAAGGAAUGAACAGGACAGUUAAACAAUAUCAUAAAAGGUGAAAAAUGACUUUUUAACUUAAUUUUGUUAGCAUGAAAAAACAGACUACUUAUUUAACAUUAAGUGUUAAGAAAUUCCCCCAGGUAACAAAUGAUAUCACCAGAUCGAUUUUAUUUUGCCACCCAAACAUUAUCCACAUUGGAGUUUGUUCUGAUUCCCCUGCUAAAAUCUAUGUUGCACUUUUGUUCUUGUUUAUUUCACGAAAUUUUAUUGUGGGCGUAUGUCUGUUUGCAGGACAAUUUAACUAAUUCUUAAUCUCGUCAGUCAAAGAAAGAAUAUAAGGAAAAGAUUAUGAUUGUUUUGUACCCUCCAUAUUCCCUGGCGAUUUUGUUUCAUAAACUCACGUAUUUCUCAUUGUUUCCCUGAACGAUGUAUCUAUGUCCCGGUUAUAGAAGUUAAUACUCAAGCUUAGCUGGGUUCAAUGUCUUAUGCAAAUGAGCAGAGCUUGUGUGAAUGGAAAGAAACAAAAUUGUCCUAUUUAUUCUUGUUGAAAUUUCAUUAUAAAUGGUAACUGAAAGUACAACGUAUAAAAUGUUGGGAAUAAGAUGUAGUAAUUGUCUAAAUUCAUGCUGGAUGAUUGGUUAUCAUUGCCUCUAAUCUGGAAGGGCUUUUAAGACUUGGAUAUCAGUUCCUAUAUAAAACUUAAAUCUCAAUGAUUGAAAAAAGAAUGUAGCCACACUUCACUUCAUAUUAUUUCACCUGAUAGCAAACAUCUGAAUAUUGGAAACAUCCAGGUGAUCAAUAUUCUUUCUGUAGUACCACACGUUUACUGAUGUAUAGACAGUGCUUUGAAUAAAAGCGUUUUUUUUCUCCACUUUAUUUUACUCUCCCCAUCAUUUCUAAUUCUGCCUACAUCGCCUUCGUAACAUCAAUUAUUCUUUUACAUAAUAGUGUCUUCUUUUCUUCAUUUAUGUGUUUAAUACCUUGAAGUUUUCCCAAAAAAUGUCAUUUAUUUCCCUCACUACAGUUUCUUUCUCCUAGAGUUGGUCACACUGUCAUUACUAGUGUUUCCAAGAGUAAUGAUAUCUAAUUUCCAUAGGUAUACGAAUUGGAAUGUUAACAGCUGUAGUGGUCAAAUUCAGAGCCUGGUGUAGCGAAACAACAUCAAAGCAGAGAUAUGCUACAUCACUCAUUUAUUCUUAUAACUAUUGUGAUAUAUCUCAUAAUGAUCUAGGUGUCUGUCAUCUUUCAUGAGAUGAAAAUCGUGAUAAUUCCUCCACUGCUGUCUUCUCUGAUACAUGCCCUUUUCCUGUGGGAGGCAGCACUAAACAUGAUAAGAAUUAGGAGAUCUAGUUUAAAAACUCUGCCAUUCAUCGGUUCUUUAUUUUGGGAAAUUCACUUAGUUUCUCUCAAUCUAUCUCUUCUACACUAAAAAGAAUAUGAUUGGAUUAGAUGAGUAUUUAAUUCCUGUCACUCUAAUAACUAGACAUUUGCUAUUUAACAAUUCUUUUAAAAAUCACCUUUGUUUUGUGUACAUUUAUUUAAAGGAACACACUAUAUUCUUUUCGUAAACGAGCUAUUAUUUGCAACUGUAACUUUGACAAUAUAUUUAAAGAUAUAAGAAAAAGUUAUUAAAUUUUAUGGAGGUGCUAUAACUUGUACAAAACUUUGAGGAUAAGACCUGUUGUCUUCAUGUUAAAAAGGAGGACCAAAAUGUCUUAAGCAAUAUUGACAUAAUAUGAUUAAGUUAAAACUUUCCCUGCUUACCGUAGUCAAAGAUAUUGAGCUAAAAUUGAAAAGAGAAUUAGUCCCUCAAUUUACUGCAGAAUGUGCUUUAAAACCAUGUGUGUUUACCAGCUAAAUAAUCUUAAAUAUCACUAGUAAUACAGCUACAGAAUUUGGAAAAUGCUGAACUUGUUAAUGUAUACAUAUUGUUGCAUCAAAAAUUAUGUAUAAUUAAUAAUGCUUGUUUGUCGGGCCAGGAUAUGGCUGCCACAUCUCAUAAAGGGGUAGGAUAGACAGCCACCUGGACACCAGCUAAUUCCUCAUGAAUGAGGGGAAUAGAACUUGGAAGUUUGUGCUCUCUGCAGUACAUUUUCCCAUUGCCUUUGUGUAAGUCCUACCCAAAUCAAACAGAACAUAAUAUAUGCAAAUCCAUGAAUAAACUAUCAACAGAUAAGAGCUGAGUACUUCCUGACCACAAUGUUUGCCUUAGAGUUACAUUGCAUGACAUCAUUUUUAUUGCUAUUUAUUCCAACAGAGCACAUAAAUUGUGCAGAGUUCAAAUAUCUUGUGCAUUUUGAUUAGUGUAUUUUCUUUAUUUUGUGCUCCAUUAACUGUAAUGACCAUAGAGUUUACCUUAAAACAUUCUUUACAAUAAAAAUUAAAUGAAAUAUCAAUAGUUUUUCUAACUUUUUUCAAAAUGUUAGUCU